rnacentral:rRNA from 1 species
UACGAAGGGGGCUAGCGUUGCUCGGAAUUACUGGGCGUAAAGCGUGCGCAGGCGGUUUUGUAAGCCAGAUGUGAAAUCCCCGGGCUUAACCUGGGAAUGGCAUUUGGGACUGCAUCGCUGGAGUGCGGCAGAGGGGGAUGGAAUUCCGCGUGUAGCAGUGAAAUGCGUAGAUAUGCGGAGGAACACCGAUGGCGAAGGCAAUCCCCUGGGCCUGCACUGACGCUCAUGCACGAAAGCGUGGGGAGCAAACAGG